UUAAAUUGAAGAGUUUGAUCAUGGCUCAGAUUGAACGCUGGCGGCAGGCUUAACACAUGCAAGUCGAACGGUAACAUGAGUGCUUGCACUUGAUGACGAGUGGCGGACGGGUGAGUAAGGUAUGGGGAUCUGCCGAAUGGAGGGGGACAACAGUUGGAAACGACUGCUAAUACCGCAUAAAGUUGAGAGACCAAAGCAUGGGACCUUAGGGCCAUGCGCCAUUUGAUGAACCCAUAUGGGAUUAGCUAGUUGGUGGGGUAAGGGCUCACCAAGGCGACGAUCUCUAGCUGGUCUGAGAGGAUGACCAGCCACACUGGAACUGAGACACGGUCCAGACUCCUACGGGAGGCAGCAGUGGGGAAUAUUGCACAAUGGGGGGAACCCUGAUGCAGCCAUGCCGCGUGUAUGAAGAAGGCCUUCGGGUUGUAAAGUACUUUCGGUGAUGAGGAAGGAGAUGUAUCUA
rnacentral:rRNA from 1 species